GAUGAACGCUAGCUACAGGCUUAACACAUGCAAGUCGAGGGGAAACGACAUCGAAAGCUUGCUUUUGAUGGGCGUCGACCGGCGCACGGGUGAGUAACGCGUAUCCAACCUGCCCACCACUUGGGGAUAACCUUGCGAAAGUAAGACUAAUACCCAAUGACGUCUCUAGAAGACAUCUGAAAGAGAUUAAAGAUUUAUCGGUGAUGGAUGGGUAUGCGUCUGAUUAGCUUGUUGGCGGGGUAACGGCCCACCAAGGCGACGAUCAGUAGGGGUUCUGAGAGGAAGGUCCCCCACAUGGGAACUGAGACACGGUCCAAACUCCUACGGGAGGCAGCAGUGAGGAAUAUUGGUCAAUGGGCGAGAGCCUGAACCAGCCAAGUAGCGUGCAGGAUGACGGCCCUAUGGGUUGUAAACUGCUUUUAUAAGGGAAUAAAGUGAGUCUCGUGAGACUUUUUGCAUGUACCUUAUGAAUAAGGACCGGCUAAUUCCGUGCCAGCCGCCGCCGUAA
rnacentral:rRNA from 1 species